GGAAAAUCUGGCGGGAGUGAGUUCCAGAUCACAGGGCCUCUGUGGUUGUUGUUUGAAUCUUGUUGAGUAGUUGUGGAAUUCAUAUGUGACGGUGAAAUAGUUUUUGACGAAAGAGGGUCAUAAUUAUUUGAAAGAGUCGUUAACAAAUUGAGCAACUUGAAGAUAAAUCAUUUGAUAAAUAUUCAUCAGAACUAAUAGUUUGAAAAGUGAUGCUGAAUUGAUUCUAGAACCGGCAGAUAAUGUUAUUCUAGAGUGUUUCUGUAGACGACAGACUGAUUGUAGUGUAGUAGGUUGUGUGCUGGCCCAUGUUAUUCUAGAGUGUUUCUACAGACGACAGACUGAUAGUAGUGUAGUAGGUUGUGUGCUGGCCCAUGUUAUUCUAGAGUGUUUCUGUAGACGACAGACUGAUAGUAGUGUAGUAGGUUGUGUGCUGGCCCAUGUUAUUCUAGAGUGUUUCUGUAGACGACAGACUGAUAGUAGUGUAGUAGGUUGUGUGCUGGCCCAUGUUAUUCUAGAGUGUUUCUGUAGACGACAGACUGAUAGUAGUGUAGUAGGUUGUGUGCUGGCCCAUGUUAUUCUAGAGUGUUUCUACAGACGACAGACUGAUAGUAGUGUAGUAUGUUGUGUGCUGGCCCAUGUUAUUCUAGAGUGUUUCUGUAGACGACAGACUGAUUGUAGUGUAGUAGGUUGUGUGCUGGCCCAUGUUAUUCUAGAGUGUUUCUACAGACGACAGACUGAUAGUAGUGUAGUAGGUUGUGUGCUGGCCCAUGUUAUUCUAGAGUGUUUCUGUAGACGACAGACUGAUAGUAGUGUAGUAGGUUGUGUGCUGGCCCAUGUUAUUCUAGAGUGUUUCUGUAGACGACAGACUGAUAGUAGUGUAGUAGGUUGUGUGCUGGCCCAUGUUAUUCUAGAGUGUUUCUACAGACGACAGACUGAUAGUAGUGUAGUAGGUUGUGUGCUGGCCCAUGUUAUUCUAGAGUGUUUCUGUAGACGACAGACUGAUAGUAGUGUAGUAGGUUGUGUGCUGGCCCAUGUUAUUCUAGAGUGUUUCUACAGACGAC